rnacentral:lncRNA from 1 species
CGGUGACGGUGAGGGUGCGACGUGGUGCGGGGGCUGGAAAUGGCGCAAGUACAUUGUUUCAGAGGGAGGAAGGAGUGUGAGGUAGGGGUGGUGGUAGUGGCAGCGGCAGUGAGUGAGGGGAAGGGAAGGUAUUUAAUAGAAGAAGAUAGAUUAAUUAGAUGAUGUUGAGUUACAGUCUUUAAUUAAGUUGGAUAAAAGGUAAUUAUACUUGAAUGAUCCGGAUGUAAUAUUCUUGGUUGAGUUGGUGGGGGGUAUAAUUGUAAUUUUCUUUUAUGGUUAUCCACCCACCUACUCAACCAAUAUAUAUAUCCACCUGAGACUUUAGAGAGAAUUAAUUAUCUCGUUCAUCUCUUUAGCUUGGUCCGUUGAGGUGGAGCUCGGGUGGAGUGCCGUUGGAGCUUUGAUCGACGCCGACGUCUCGCGGCGGAGCCGUUCGAGCACGCGAGCAUCUUAGUCGCUGCAUGGGAAGGCCGGGCAAAGGUCCGAUUCUGCCGUUUUCGAUGUCGCACCGGAUUGUGAUUAGCGUUUGAGGUGGGUUUAUCAUCGGAAUCCUACUCGUAUAGUAUUGUUGGUCGACAUGUAUCGCUAAUAUUACAAGUUGUUAUUGUUUAGCUCAAAUUCAUGAGUAGAUAUGUUUUAGACAUAUAAACUGAAUUGGGAGCAUGUUAUUAGUUGUUAUUAAUCAUAUAUGUGGGAUUUGGAUAAAACAUAGGAGAAAACCAGCGUUCGAGACCUGGCAUAUGUUGAACUACCUAAUUUAGUCCUAGGGGCCGUUGUAUUUUUAUACUGUUACAGUAUCCUCAUAGUGAGUAUCCCAGGUAGUUCAGAUUUCAGUUACGCUCAUGCUGGAAUGCCGAGCCGAUUUUUACAGUAGUGUUUAUAGUGUUCCGGAUUAGUGGGUACCGUAGUGGUUGACGGCGGAUCCGGAUUUGAUCGUUCCGAUAUCAGAUUGUGCCGAGGGCACAUGACUAGGAGUUGGCAGUACUGUUAGACCUGUUUUCUUGAUUUUAGCCUGUGAGAGCCUGAUAGAGCUCGACAGAGAUACGCUUGCAUACUCGGUUGGGUCGCGCCCACGAGUGCCGCUCCGGAGUCUGGCUUUGUGCUUUUGCGUUGAUGUCGCUGAUUAGUUGCUAUCCACAGACUGUUUAGCGUGGAGGUAGCGCGGCUUAGACAGGCGGGACAGGUGCGUACACAGUCCCUAAUGAGAUUCAGUUAGAAUUGAUAGUAGACACAGUGGGAUAGUGUAGUGGCAUGUAGCUGUGGAUUUCUUUCCGGGUUUACCUUUUAGCCUUAUUUCCUACUGUAGUCUUAGUGGGUGAGCCGAUGAUUUUGAGGGCGGUACCCACUGAGAACUAUUUCUUUUUACAGUAGUUCUCACGCCCAGUUGUUACCCUGUGUUUUGCAGAGCCUGUUGUUCCGGCUGCUGCGUCUUCAGAGGCGGAUCGAGGCAAGGGCGUUACGAGCUAGAGCCCUACCCGUCGAAGCGCCGUGCUAGAGGAUCACCAGCUGCAGGUAGUAGUGUUUUUAUUUUGAGCUUAUGUACAUACUGAUACUAGAACUCGCUGGAGCGAGUGUUUUUGUACUUGUUAGUUUGUAUGUAUAUGAGAUUUAUUCGUUUUACCUGCUUAGUCCUUUUCAGCUCUACACUACUGUUUGUAGUAUUGUAUAUUUUACAUAGACAGCUAUCGCUUCGUAUACAGGAAAAAUUUCUUUAUAUACGGCAGAUUUCUCGGCGUGCCCGGGGGACGUGUAAUCCAGGGUGUGACAGAUUAAGUUGGUAUCAGAGCUUAGCAUUAAGUCAUUGGGACCUAAGAAACCUAAGUUUGGCAAACCUUAGGAAAGCAAGACGGGAGAGGCGUGAUUUAUUGCGAAAGUUAAUGAUUAAUUGUUAUAACUCACCCUGAGGGGAGUGAGUGAUUGGAGGAGUGCCUGUUCUGGCCUGCAAAAUUAUGUUGACUGCAGACGACAUAAUUUUGAGGAGAAACAGUGGCUGCCUUCCGGACUUUCGUUGAUUGGGUAGAGAGUAUUUGUGUUAUCUGACCCUGUUCUAUUUUUGCAGCUAUGUAUCGUCGUCGAGGCCGACCGUCGACAUGGGACCGGGCACAGUUGACACAGGAUCGUGUGGGACCCUCCAAGAUGCCUGAGCAGGCAAAGCCGAGUGCCCGGCAGGAGCAGGGUACACGACCAGAGGCAAGCGCAUCCCCCGAUUUGGGUGCUCAGUUGGCCGCUCUGACAAAGGUGACGAGGCGGCAAGGGGAGUUAUUGGAGAGGUUGUGUGAGAGGGUCACCCCGCCACAGAGUACCGUACCAGAGCAGAUUGUUCCACCUCCGACUGCUCCAGCGGCAGCACCAGCUACAGUAGUACCACCACCAGUGACCGUUCCUUCAGUGCUAGUUGCGCCGGUUGGUGAGGCAUCGCAGAUGACCGAGGCUGAGCAGGAGCGGAUGGCUGAGAGACUCGCUCGCUUUCAUCGUUUCGAUCCGCCGACUUUUGAUGGCCAAUGCACAGAGGCUUGGGUUGUUGAGGACUGGGUCAGCUCGAUGGAGAAAUUAUUUGAGGAUCUUUUCAUUCCUGAGCGGGAGCAGGUACAUCUGGGAGUGCAUUGCUUGACAGGGGAUGCCCUUGCUUAGUGGCGGAGAGUGAUGAGAGAUUACCAGUUGGUGACUUUACAGAUGACAUUGGACGAGUUCUGUGGAAUGCUGUAUGGGAUGUAUUUUUCCAACAGUGUGAAACAAAAGCUCGAGGAGGAUUUAAAGAACAUCCAGCAGGGGGACCGGACAGUACAGGAGUAUAUUCGAGAGUUCACGCGACUCUUGAACUGUGUGCCGUUUGUGGCUAGAGAUAAGGCACACAGAGUGUACCUUUUCGAGCAGGGUUUGAGGCCCGAGAUUUUUCGGUUGGUUCAGGUACAGAGGUUGAGGACCUUGGACGCGUCGAUGGAGCAGGCACUUUGGGUUGAGAGAGGUGAUGUAUCUAUUCGGGAGAGGACUCAGGCUGCAGGGCAGAGUCAGGAUAGGAAGUACUCAGCUCCAGAUGAGGGUGGACAGUCGAGCAGCCGGCGUCCACCGAGACCUCCACGAUCGCGUUCUCAAGGUCGUGGGUUCUCGGGACGUCAGCGUUCUGGGGGAUCGCGGCAGCAGAGGCAGUUACAGGGAUUACCACCAUGUGUGAUUUGUGGAGGACCGCACUGGGCCCGGCAGUGUAAGCAGCAUGAGGGCCGAUGUUUUGGAUGUGGACAGCCGGGGCAUAUGAGGUCUGCUUGCCCCCGAGCAGCAUCACCAGCACCAUCGACCGCUUCAACAGCAUCCGGAUCUCAGCAGAUUUCUGAAGCACCUCAGAGUUACCGCCAGGAGGACAGGGCAUCUGCGCCGCGACAGGGUGAGAGGCGACAACAGGCUCCGAGUGGCAGAGUAUAUGCAGCCCAGGUGGAGGACUCUUCAGCAGCCAACCGAGUGGUGGCAGGUAUUGUUUUGAUCUUUGGCAUUAGAGCUCGUACCCUUUUCGAUACCGGUGCAUCUCAUUCCUUUGUUAGCCGAGCAUUUGCAUUGUUGUAUAGUCUAGAAUUUGGAGCUUUGUCACAGGCACGGGAGGUACAGAUUCCCGAUCAUGUAUUACAGGUUGCAGAGUGUUGUUGGUCGUGUCCGGUGCAGUUGGAUUCGUGGAUCUUGCCCGCAGACCUGUUGGUUUUAGGGCAGCUGCAGGACUUCGACGUUGUGCUCGGUAUGGAUUGGCUGGCACGGUACUACUCUACGAUCGACUGUGGAGCGAGGACAGUGACGUUUCGCGAGCCAGGCCUGGUGGAGUUUACUUUUAGGGGCUACAGGAGUACGCUGUUCGCUACUUGGAUAUCUUCGGCGAGGGCUCGACAGCUGAUGAGCAGAGGAUGUAUCGCAUUUCUGGCGACGGUAGUAGAGGUACCUACGGCAACACCGGGACUCGAGGAUAUUCCUGUAAUUCGCGAGUUUCUGAAUGUGUUUCCCCCUGAGUUGACGAUGAUGCCGCCGGAGAGGCAGAUUGAGUUCGUGAUUGAUGUGGUUCCCAGAACUACACCAAUCUCGAAGGCACCUUACAGGAUGGCACCGGCAGAGCUGAGAGAGCUAAAGGCGCAGCUUCAGGAUUUGAUGGACAAAGGAUAUGUGGACCCAGUGUAUCACCUUGGGGAGCGCCGGUGUUAUUUGUAAAGAAGAAGGAUGGUUCGCUCAGGUUAUGUGUGGACUACCAGGAGCUGAAUAAAGUGACCAUCAAGAACAAGUAUCCCUUGCUGCGCAUUGAUGAUUUAUUUUAUCAGCUGCAGGGAUCUUGUGUCUUCUCGAAGAUUGAUCUCCAGUCAGGUUACCACCAGCUGAAGGUGAGGGCCGAGAAUGUUCCCAAGACGGCUUUUCGGACUCGGUACGGGCAUUAUGAGUUUACCGUGAUGCUUUUUGGAUUGACGAAUGCCCCUGCCGCAUUCAUGGAUUUGAUGAACAGAGUGUUCAAGCCGUUCUUGAAUAGAUUUGUCGUAGUCUUCAUCGACGAUAUCUUGAUUUACUCCAGGAGUAAUGCUGAGCAUGAUGAGCACUUGAGGAUUGUGCUACAGCUUCUGCAAGAGAAGAAGCUGUAUGCCAAGUUAAAGAAGUGCGAGUUUUGGUUGCGGGAGGUCGCUUUCUUGGGCCACGUAAUUUCUGCAGAGUGAGUAGCAGUGGACCCAAAGAAGAUUGAUGCUAUUCGGGAUUGGCCCAGACCGACGACGGUGACAGAGGUGAGGAGUUUUCUUGGACUAGCAGGAUAUUACCGUCGGUUUGUGGAGGACUUUGCGAAGCUUUCCACACCCCUUACCAGGUUGACACGGAAGGGGAUUCGGUUUGUUUGGUGUGAGGACUGCUAGAGGAGCUUCGACGAGCUGAGAUAGAGAUUGAUGUCAGCUCCUAUCCUUGCUCUCCCUGUGAUGGGGGAAGGAUUCGUGAUCUACAGUGAUGCAUCGCACAGUGGACUGGGUUGUGUGCUGAUGCAGUAUGGUAGGAUAAUUGCUUAUGCUUCACGGCAGUUAAAGGAUUAUGAGAAGAAUUACCCUACGCAUGAUUUGGAGCUUGCCGCGGUAGUAAUUGUUUUGAAGCUGUGGCGGUAUUAUUUGUACGGCGAGCACUGCGAGGUUUUCACCGAUCAUAAAAGUCUCAAGUAUCUGUUCACUCAAAAGGAAUUGAAUCUGAGGCAGCGCCGGUGGUUGGAGUUACUGAAAGACUAUGAUAUUAGUAUUCAGUAUCAUCCCGGCAGGGCGAAUAUAGUGGCAGAUGCAUUGAGCAGGAAGAUAGCGCAGAACUUGAGUUUGUUGAUCACUCAGCAGAGACCGCUACUUGAGGAGCUACAGCGGCUGAGGCUUGAAGUAGUGUCCCCUGGGUCUACAGCAAGACUGAUGUCUCUGGUCUUGCAGCCCACUCUGUUCGAUAGGAUUCGGGAGAAACAGAGUGGAGAUCCGCAUUUGUUGAGGAUUCGAGAGCAGUUAGAUAGGGGACAGGCGGAGGGUUUUGCUUUAGACAGUUCGGAAGUACUGCGGUACAGGGACCGACUAUGUGUGCCUGUAGAUUCUGAGAUCCUAGAGGACAUCUUGAGGGAGGCUCAUUGUUCACCUUAUACGGUUCACCCUGGAGGAACCAAGAUGUAUAAGGAUUUGAAGGCACAGUUUUGAUAGAAUGGGAUGAAGAGGGACAUUGGCAGAUUAUAGCUCAGUGUUUGACUUGCCAACAGGUAAAGGCCGAGCAUCAGGUAUCUGCUGGCAAGCUUCAGAGUCUGUCAGUGCCCGAGUGAAAAUGGGAGCAGAUCACGAUAGAUUUUGUUGUGGGGUUGCCUAGAGCACAGGGUGGCUAUGAUGCUAUUUGGGUGAUAGUGGACAGACUGACUAAGUUUGCUCACUUCCUACCAGUUCAGACCAACUGGUCCAGAGAGAGACUCGCGUAGUUGUAUCUGGAUGAGAUUGUCAGACUAUAUGGUGUACCAAUAUCGAUCGUAUCAGACCGGAACCCGAGAUUUGUGUCACAUUUUUUGAGGAGUUUACAGACAGCUUUGGGGACUCAGUUACAUUUCAGCAUAGCAUUUCACCCGCAGACGGAUUGUCAGUCGGAGCGGACCAUUCAGACUCUAGAGGACAUGCUGAGGGCAUGUGUCCUGAAUUUUGGAGGAGGGUGGUAUCGACACUUGAGACUAGCAGAGUUUGCAUAUAACAACAACUAUCAAACGAGCAUUCAGAUGGCUCCGUUUCAGGCAUUGUAUGGACGCAUGUAUCGAUCCCCGUUGUUUUGGAGUGAUGUGGAUGAGAGGAGGACACUUGGGCUUGAGAUUUUGCUAGAGGCUGAGGAAAAGGUGAGAGUUGUUCGACGACACCUUUUGACAGCCCAGAGCCGCCAAAGAGCUACGCCGAUACCAGGAGACGAGACUUGGAGUUCCAGGUUGGAGAUCAUAUAUUUCUUAAAGUCUCGCCGUCCAGAGGGAUUCGCCGAUUUGGAGUGCGUGGAAAACUCAGUCCGCGUUUCGUUGGCCCUUUUGAGGUAUUGGAGCCAGUUGGACCAGUUGCUUACCGGAUUGCUCUACCAACCUGACUUGCUGGUAUUCAUGAUGUGUUCCACGUCGCGGUGCUGAGGAGAUAUGUUUUCGAUCCUUCUCACGUGAUUGACUUCACUCCACUAGAGAUUGGCGAGGAUCUGAGAUACGAGGAACGACCGGUGCGGAUUCUUACUCGUGAGACGAAAGAAUUGCGCAACUGGGUCAUCCCGUAUGUGAAAGUGUAGUGGAGCAAUCACGAGGAGUGGGAGGCGACUUGAGAGCCUGAGACAGUGAUGAGGGAGUCCUAACCCGACCUGUUCGUUGCCCCGUCUUGAGGUAUAUUUUAUGUUUCGAGGACGAAACUUUUUAUAGUGGAGGAGGAUGUAAUAUCCUUGGUUGAGUUGGUGGGGGGUAUAAUUGUAAUUUUUUUUUAUGGUUAUCCACCCACCUACUCAACCAAUAUAUAUAUCCACCUGAGACUUUAGAGAGAAUUAAUUAUCUCAUUCAUCUCUAUAGCUUGGUCCGUUGAUGUGGAGCUCGGGUGGAGUGUCGUUGGAGCUCGGAUCGACGCCGACGUCGCACCGCGGAGCCGUUCGAGCACGCGAGCAUCUUAGUCGCUGCAUGGGGAGGCCGGGCGAGGGUCCGAUUCCGCCGUUUUCGAUGUCGCACCGGAUUGUGAUUAGCGUUUGAAGUGGGUUUAUCAUCGGAAUCCUACUCCUAUAGUAUUGUUGGUCGACAUGUAUCGUUAAUAUUACAAGUUGUUAUUGUUUAGCUCAAAUUCAUGAGUAGGUAUGUUUUAGACAUAUAAACUGAAUUGGGAGCAUGUUAUUAGUUGUUAUUAAUCAUACAUGUGGGACUUGGAUAAAACAUAGGAGAAAACCAGCGUUCUGGACCUGGCAUAUGUUGAACUACCUGAUUUAGCCAUAGGGGCCGUUGUAUUUUUAUACUGUUGCAGUAUCCUCAUAGUGAGCAUCCGAGGUAGUUCAGAUUUCAGUUACGCUCGUGCUGGGAUGCCGAGCCGAUUUUUACAGUAGUGUUUACAGUGUUCCGGAUUAGUGGGUGCCGUAGUGGUUGACGGCAGACCCGGAUUUGAUCGUUCCGAUAUCAGAUUGUGCCGAGGGCAUGUGACUAAGGGUUGGUAGUACUGUUAGACCUGUUUUCUUGACUUUAGCCUGUGAGAGCCUGAUAGAGCUCGACAGAGAUACGUUUGUAUACUCGGUUGGGUCGCGCCCACGAGUGCCGCUCCGGAGUCUAGCUUUGUGCUUUUGCAUUGAUGUCGCUGAUUAGUUGCUAUCUACGGACUGUUUAGCGUGGAGGUAGCGCGGCUUAGACAGCGGGACGGGUGCGUACACAGUCCCUAAUGAGAUUGGGUUAGAAUUGAUAGUAGACACAGUGGGAUAGUGUAGUGGCAUGUAGGUGUGGAUUUUUUUUCCGGGUUUACCUUUUAGCCUUAUUUCCUACUGUAGUCUUAGUGGGUGAGCCGAUGAUUUUGAGGGCGGUACCCACUGAGGACUACUUGUUUUUACAGUAGUUCUCACGCCCAGUUGUUACCCUGUGUUUUGCAGAGCCUGCUAUUCCGGCUGCUGCAUCUUCAGAGGUGGAUCGAGGCAAGGGCGUCGCGAGUUAGAGCCGUACCGGACGAAGCGCCGUGCUAAAGGAUCAUCAGCUGCAGGUAGUAGUGUUUUUAUUUUGAGUUUAUGUACAUACUGAUACUAGAACUCGCUGGAGCGAGUGUUUUUGUACUUGUUGAUUUGUAUGUAUAUGAGAUUUGUUCGUUCUACCUGCUUAAUUUUUUUCAGCUCUACACUACUGUUUGUAGUAUUGUAUAUUUUACAGAGACAGCUAUCGCUUCGUAUACAGAAAAAAUUUCUUUAUAUACGGCGGAUUUGGCGGCGUGUCCGGGGAACGUGUAAUCCGGGGCGUGACACCGUUGGUCCAGUUAAAGAGAAAAAAAUGCAUGAAAACUA